CGUGUACACGACAUUGGUGUUGAGUUGAGGAAACAACUCAACAUGCAAUGUCAUCAGGAACGGGUUAUGGUGUGGCGGAACAGAGAGGGAUUCCGGGUGUUCAAUCUUAUCUGACUCAAUCAUACCUUGAUGUCAACAACUUUGCUCUUCCUUUUCUCCAACAAAAUGGCAAAGAUACCGGAUAUUGAGAAGUGCUUAGAUGUCGUUGCUACAUUGCAAGCAAAGAGGGGGUACUGACACUUACUGCUGAUUUUGAGGUGUUCAGAAGAAAAAUAUUCACAAGCUUGUGUAGAGGAAACUGAUUCAGUGUGUUUAUGGCUGGGACCAAAUGUUAUGUCAGAAUAUUCAUUAGAAGAGGCUAUUGAUCUUCUACAGAACCAGGAUAAUGCUAAAGCCAGUUUAGAAGUUCUUGCCACUGAUAUACAGUUCUUGAGGGACCAGGUUACAUUAACCCCGGUUAUAAUUAGAAUGUUCAUCGACGGAAAAUUAUACAAGCUGGUGCCAUAACAGCUCAAAAACUAGCAAACAAAAAUUCAUACCUGCUUUUUUAUACAUGUUGAUUAAUAUACUGUUAUCUAUAACGCUUGGAAAAACAUCAUAUCCAGGUCCAUAGGCAUGUUUUAUUUAGUUUGAUCACAUGGGUAUUUUUGUUUAAUUUCAUAGUGCCGGUGUUUAAGGUUUAUUGUCUGAGCAAGCUAAUAUUUGAAUUCCAAAUCUGGGCCAGUGGGGUAAUCAAUCAAAAAGGCCCCACAGAAUCUUUAGAUUGUGAGUGAAUUUUGUCGGUGAAAUUAUGCAAAAUGAAGGGACAAGACGUGUAAUCCAAUGUUAUUAUACGUGGCAGGGAUUUGAGUAAAUCCAUUUGUACAACUGGUCUAAUACUAAUAAUACAAUUUCUGGAAAGCAACAAUGUAAUGGAAAACAAGGUAAUCCAGAAUCUUAGUCUUAAAGAUCUUAUAGUUUGAAUGGUUGAGUUAGGUAUAGUGGCACUGUUAUUCAUGUGCCAAAACAGGACUCGUUGUUGGUUUCUAGCUUGACAUAUGGUUGAAUAUUAUAUGGUUAGCAGGCUAAUUAAUUUUAUGGGCAUAGACUCUUCACAUGGGGACCCAUAAACAACGGUGAGUGUCAGAAGUCAAAAGCAAAAUCGACCUCUCGAACCAGUUUUAUCUCCUUUUCUUUUUGUUUUUCAGUUGCAAAUAGUAUAAACUUUUCGCCGAAUAUGUGCAGCAAUGCCUCACAAAUUUAUUUAGGGAAAACCGCCUGCCCCUCCUCUAAUAUCAGUCCAAAACCUUCUUUUCUUUGGUAUUA